rnacentral:lncRNA from 1 species
GUCUGUCCCUUUUCACAUUGGGGCAGGACAGGUCACCUGAAGAGGGGGAUGAUAGUUUUCAGGGCCAGUGAUGAAGUGUGCAGGUGUCCUACUGUUGAACUUGCACAACCUGGAUGACCAGUAAACAAGGAAUUACUUGGAUUAGCCCCAUCCUCUGGUCUCCCAGGGAAACUGGGAAUGAGUCACCUGGUGACGCAGCCAGAGGAGAUAAAAUCAUGAGGACAUUUUUUUUUUUUUUAAAAAGCGGCAGCUGUUUCAUGCCGGGAAAGAAGAAGAAGAGGAAGAGGAGAAAGAAGGGGAGGAAGCAGCAGCAGCAGAUUCCUCUCUGAUGCAUGUUUACUAUCAGCGCAGAACCCAUGAGGAGCGGAGUCCCUGUAGCUCUGAGCAGCUGUUGUCCUUGCUGCUGUUGGAGCUGCUGGAGGGGGCAGGCAGCCGUGCUGACAGAUGUAUGUGGCACUGUGGGUCUUUCCUUCACAAGGGGCAGAACCUAUGUUCAUAUGGCAGUGCCCAGUGGACUUCAAACCCUGCCAACCUGCAUGUGUUCCAGUGCUGGACAGACGCAGCAGUGUUCCUGUCCUGCUCCGAUGGAGUAAAUGGGGGUGUGUUUCUAAA